rnacentral:rRNA from 1 species
UACAGAGGGUGCGAGCGUUAAUCGGAAUUACUGGGCGUAAAGCGUGCGUAGACGGCUAUCUAAGUCGGGGUGUGAAAGCCCCCGGGCUCAACCUGGGGAAUUGCAUUCGAGACUGAAUAGCUAGGGUGCGGUAGAGGGAAGCGGAAUUUCCGGUGUAGCGGUGAAAUGCGUAGAUAUCGGAAGGAACAUCAGUGGCGAAAGCGGCUUC